rnacentral:rRNA from 1 species
UACGUAGGGACCAAGCGUUGUUCGGAAUUACUGGGCGUAAAGGGCUCGUAGGCGGCCAACUAAGUCAGACGUGAAAUCCCUCGGCUUAACCGGGGAACUGCGUCUGAUACUGGAUGGCUUGAAUCCGGGAGAGGGAUGCGGAAUUCCAGGUGUAGCGGUGAAAUGCGUAGAUAUCUGGAGGAACACCGGUGGCGAAGGCGGCAUCCUGGACCGGCAUUGACGCUGAGGAGCGAAAGCCAGGGGAGCAAACGGG